GCUAAUGGCAGACGACGUCAUUUCAGCACUCAAACUGUACAAAAACCGUUACCGGCUUAGUCUUCCCUUUGAAGAAGCAGAAACAUUAACACCGCGUUGUUUAGGUUUUGUAACAGUAUUUCUAACUACAUUUCCCAGAGUGCACUUCCGUACUGGGCAUGCGCACUGCCGUUUACGCCCGGAGAAGGGACUAAUAAGGUGGUUUAAAAAGGGGCCAUAUUAUGCUUUUGGGGGUUUUUCCUUUCCUGUAGUGUGUUAUUUAUGUUUUUGUGCAUCUAAUAGGUCUGCAAAAGCUAAAAUCCCAAAAUUCAUGCUAGAGAGAGAUAUUCUCCAAUAUCCCUCCCCCAUGCCUGAAACACCUCGAUGGGAUUCCUUUCUUUACUUCCUGAUUCAGUUCCGUAUCACACUGACGUCAACGUGAUACGGAGCAGAACUCCAGCCAAUAUCAGCGGGAGCCGCUAGAGCUGAAACACCACUUAAAGCCGACCCGAGCAAGGAGCCAUGGUGAGGAGACGCUGCCACUUUCGCUGCGAACCAAAACUUUCUUUGUUUGCCAUACCAAAGGAAGACCACGCGAAGAAGAAGUGGCUUGCAUUUAUUUUUACAGAUAUUCCCCGGUAGCAAAACCCCAAAUUAUGGUUGUGUUCUCGACAGUUCACUGAAGACUGCCUCCUUCAUAUUUUUUUGUAAUAUUAUUCAAGGGUCAAUUACACUCCACAAAUUAGAAAAAAUCCUUUUCAACAAGAGAGUUGUCAGGGAUGUGGAGAAGCUUAGUCAUCAACACCAGACUUCAUCACUGGAGGCCUUCCACAGCUCGAUCCUGCGCCUUGCGCCUAAAAAUGUUGUUUUCCCUUUCAUGGGAAUGUUGUGCAGGUUGUACUUGGCGGUCAUUCACUAAAAUGAAAAUGUUAUGGCUAACAAGGGUGAUAGCAUAGCCAAGCCAGUCAAACCAGACCCAACAUACAAUUAUGAGGAUGACCUGAUGAGGCUUGUGUUUGAUGAGGUGCUAGAGGACCCAACUCCAUUUGUUGAAGGUUUAAAGGAAAUCCCCAUCCCCAAAGACCAGUCAUCCCAAUAUGAGAGACCUUCAAAGGAUGAGGUGAUUGCCCGCCAUGUCUCCCGCUUCAGCCAAGGUGUGGCCGAAAGCCAACGCACCGACCAGUUGGAUCAGGAAACUCCUGGCGUAUCCGGACUACCACACACGACGGGAUGACAACCCUGGCAUACCGGUCUAAAUAGCCCCAGCACCAGCUGACAAAGCUCCGAUAGGAGAGAUGCCAGUUACGCCUGUAAAAGAGAGGAUCAGACACUAUUACCUUGAAUA